rnacentral:rRNA from 1 species
UCUGCGGCUGGAUCACCUCCUUAGGAAACGGGCGCUAAUACCGCACACUUCCUACGGGAGAAAGUGGGGGAUCUUCGGACCUCACGCUAUUAGAUGAGCCUAGGUCGGAUUAGCUAGUUGGUGAGGUAAUGGCUCACCAAGGCGACGAUCCGUAACUGGUCUGAGAGGAUGAUCAGUCACACUGGAACUGAGACACGGUCCAGACUCCUACGGGAGGCAGCAGUGGGGAAUAUUGGACAAUGGGCGAAAGCCUGAUCCAGCCAUGCCGCGUGUGUGAAGAAGGUCUUCGGAUUGUAAAGCACUUUAAGUUGGGAGGAAGGGCAGUUACCUAAUACGUGAUUGUUUUGACGUUACCGACAGAAUAAGCACCGGCUAACUCUGUGCCAGCAGCCGCGGUAAUACAGAGGGUGCAAGCGUUAAUCGGAAUUACUGGGCGUAAAGCGCGCGUAGGUGGUUUGUUAAGUUGGAUGUGAAAUCCCCGGGCUCAACCUGGGAACUGCAUCCUAAACUGGCAAGCUAGAGUAUGGUAGAGGGUGGUGGAAUUUCCUGUGUAGCGGUGAAAUGCGUAGAUAUAGGAAGGAACACCAGUGGCGAAGGCGACCACCUGGACUGAUACUGACACUGAGGUGCGAAAGCGUGGGGAGCAAACAGGAUUA